rnacentral:lncRNA from 1 species
GGGGAGGUUUAACAGGAUAAGACAAUAUCGACGGGGGAGGCUUAACAGGAUAAGACAAUAUCGAUGGGGGAGGUUUAACGGGAGAAGACAAUAUCGAUGGGGGAGGCUUAACAGGAUAAGACAAUAUCGAUGGGGGAGGCUUAACCGGAUAAGACAAUAUCGAUGGCGUAAGCCUUUUAUCGCAACAACAUUGCGCAACUUUGAGACUUCCAGUUACACAUAUCCCUCCAUUAAAACCAUUCUCUUUACACUUUACAUCGCACUUGUCAGGACACGCGUACG